AGCGAACGCUGGCGGCAGGCCUAACACAUGCAAGUCGAACGAAGUCUUCGGACUUAGUGGCGGACGGGUGAGUAACACGUGGGAACGUGCCUUUAGGUUCGGAAUAACUCAGGGAAACUUGUGCUAAUACCGAAUGUGCCCUUCGGGGGAAAGAUUUAUCGCCUUUAGAGCGGCCCGCGUCUGAUUAGCUAGUUGGUGAGGUAAAGGCUCACCAAGGCGACGAUCAGUAGCUGGUCUGAGAGGAUGAUCAGCCACAUUGGGACUGAGACACGGCCCAAACUCCUACAGGAGGCAGCAGUGGGGAAUCUUGCGCAAUGGGCGAAAGCCUGACGCAGCCAUGCCGCGUGAAUGAUGAAGGUCUUAGGAUUGUAAAAUUCUUUCACCGGGGACGAUAAUGACGGUACCCGGAGAAGAAGCCCCGGCUAACUUCGUGCCAGCAGCCGCAGUAACAC
rnacentral:rRNA from 1 species